UACCAGCACCCCGAGUGGUCGGGACGAUUAUUGGGCCUAAAGCAUCCGUAGCCGGUUCUACAAGUCUUCCGUUAAAUCCACCUGCUUAACAGAUGGGCUGCGGAGGAUACUAUAGAGCUAGGAGGCGGGAGAGGCAAGCGGUACUUAGUGGGUAGGGGUAAAAUCCGUUGAUCCAUUGAAGACCACCAGUGGCGAAGGCGGCUUGCCAGAACGCACUCGACGGUGAGGGAUGGAAAGCGGGGGAGCAAACCGG
rnacentral:rRNA from 1 species